CUAGUAUUCAGAUCUAUUACGAACACAUUUACAACUGACUUGUUGGAUUCAACAUCUUCUGCAUUUAAACAACGUAAAUCUACAAUAACUGAACAGCUUACACCUGUCUUCAAGGAAUUUAGGUCUUUUCGUAGCUUGGAAGUAGUGGCAUUCGCAAAUGGAUCAGUCGUCAACUUUGCACGUCUUCAGUUCUUAAGCUCAUCUGCUCCGAACAACUCUCAGAUUGCAAGUGUUUUGAUAAAUGCAGCUCAAAACGUCACUGGUUUUGACAUUGAAACCAGCUCCAUCAUCAUUGAUGGCAUACCUUCAAGUGGCGUAAGCCAACACAUCAGCCUCGUCACUGCAUUCUUCCUGGUGCUUUUAUCAAGGCUACUGUCAAAUCAGCAAUAGCAUUUAUGCUGAUUCCCUUUUGACUUGCUAUGAGUAUAUGACUGUCAUUGUUGGAAUGAAAAGGAAUCCCAAAGUAGUGUUCGUUUUAUGGUUUAAACACCUUGUGAUCUCACCACCAUGUUCAACUUUGCACUGGUCAGACACUUUAAUGACAAUGGAUUACAGAUAUCAUUCAAAGUGACUAUGUUUCUGAGUGGAAAUGUCAAUGAUCAUGGGCAGAAUUACAAAGCCAACUUCAAGGUUUUGUUGCACCAAAUCAUUACUGCAAUAACACUGUGAGUAAAAUAAUAUACGCAAUGAUAUUUAAAACACUGGGAUGAUGGAAAAUGUACACAAAUGUAUUUAUUGAAUAUUAAAAUGAAAACUGUUCUUACUUAAGGACAGUUUUCAUGUUAAUAUUCAAAGGCAUGAAAAAUAUAUGGCUAGGUUUUACUUCACUAUCAGCUGCAGAGUCAGCAUAUUGUUUUAAAGGGAAAGGGCAUCUAAAUGUUGUUUUAUAUAUGUAUGAAUUAUACAUAUGUGUAAUUUUAAUUAUUUAUACAUUGCUGUAUUCUGUGAGACUUCCUGUCGUUUUUACAGUUUCUGUCAGAAAAUGUACAAUGAUCAGAAUACAACAAUUUGAAGUGAAAAA